GCGGGGGUAGCCAAGCGGUCAACGGCGACAGACUCAAGAUCUGUUCUCGAAGGAGUUCAUGGGUUCGAAUCCCCUCCCCCGCA
rnacentral:tRNA from 1 species